GGUAGAUUGGGCUUUUAGAGACCCAUUUGAUUAAGCCCAAACCAAACAAGAGAUACUCUUUUGCACCAUAAAGGCCUUCCCCUGUAGUUGUACUCAGCUGAACCUCCACCAAGUACCAGACUUGCUUGAGUUUCGCACCCGAGAGUUGAGAAAUCACUUGUAAUCAGCUGCAUCAAUUAUCAUUCGCAUUGCAGGCAUUUGGGAUUCUCAUUCUAUAAAAAGUAAAAACAAUAAAACUGUGUUUGUUUGUUAGUGUUUUAACAAAAUGCCAAGUGAGAAAAGCCCCGGCUUGAAAAUCCUCUGGGUCUGGACCCUCGGCACCGCCGCUAUACUUGUUACGAGUGUGGUGCGGACAAGACUGAGGGACAUGGAGUCUGUCAUGAACGGACAACAACAACAGGAACCCAUUUCCUCUGAUGUGCUUCUGGUGGACACGGACACGGUGCCGGGGUCUGAGGAUGUUGUGCGAGAAGAAAGAUCAUAGGUUUCGAUCAAACACCCCCCUUUUAUUUUUGUUUAUUUAUUGGAAUUUAAGGUUUUGUUUGUGUUUCAUGGGGAUUUGGUGGGUUUAGAAAAGUAUGCGCACUAUGUGUUUACUGAAUGUUCUAAAUGAAAAUGUAAAAUCCCAUUUUGGGUUUGUUUA